AACAAAUAUUCCAAAUGGAAAGUAUCUUCCUACCGAGUUUUGAAGAAUUCAAAGAGCAGCCCGUGGGUUCGUUCAAAAGCUUGUACGUUCGGUGGCAGCGUCCGGAAAAGCAAGUCGUCAAUAUUGAACGCCAUGGCUAAUCAUUGUCCUUUAUAAUUCAUCACUGAACAUCUACUUUCCCUUGCAAUUUCUCCUCAUCCUUUCAAAAUUUUCUCUCAUUUUCUUUCCCCGGAAACGAACGCUAUGUCUUCCUUGAUCAUUCCCCCCGUUCUUACUACUCCACGGGACGAUGCUGCCCUACUUUACCGCGCAUUUAAAGGGUUUGGCUGUGAUACUGCGGCAGUUAUCAAUGUUCUUGCACAUCGAGAUGCAGCACAGCGUGCUCUGAUUCAGCAGGAAUACAGAGCCAUGUACUCUGAGGAACUCUCCAAGCGCUUGAAAUCUGAGCUUAGUGGCAAAGUUGAGGAUGCAAUUUUACUAUGGAUGUAUGAUCCAGCAACAAGAGAUGCUGUUAUAGUGAAGGAGGCUAUAUAUGGACAAACUGUUACUCUUAGAGCUGCCACUGAAGUCAUUUGUUCUCGUACACCAUCGCAGAUUCAGCAUUUUAAACAAGUUUACUUGGCCAUGUUUCAUUCUCCCCUUGAACGUGAUAUUCAAAACAGUGCUACUGGUGAUCACCUAAAGCUGCUUUUGGCUUACGUUAGUAAACCACGCUAUGAAGGCCCAGAAGUAGACGGAGCUCUGGUACAAAAAGACGCCAAAUCUCUGUAUAAAGCUGGAGAGAAGAGAUUGGGAACUGAUGAAGAUAAGUUCAUAAAGAUUUUCAGUGAAAGAAGCAGAGCACAUCUCUCUGCUGUUAGUCAUGCUUAUAAACAUACAUACGGCCAAUCUUUGAAAGAGGCUAUAAAAAAAGAAACAUCUGGCCAUUUUGAGCAUGGCCUUGUAACAAUUUUGCUGUGUGCUGAGAAUCCUGGGUUUUACUUUGCAAAGGCUUUGAGGAAGGCGAUGAAGGGAAUGGGAACGGAUGACUCCACUCUGAUAAGGAUAAUUGUGUCAAGAGCUGAGAUAGAUAUGCAGUACAUAAAGGCAGAGUACCACAAGAAGUAUAAGAAAACCAUAAACAAAGCAGUUCAUUCUGAGACAUCAGGCAGCUACAGGGACUUUCUUCUCGCCUUGUUGGGUCCGGAUCAUUAGACUACAACAACUGCUGCACUGUGGAUCAAGUGGAUGUAGGAUUCUAAAAGUUCUUAAAUUUCUUCACGUUUGAGUUCAUGAAAGCUUGUGAUCUUUUCUUUUUCUUUCCUGUAAUUAUUGUAUGUGCCUUGUGUAAGUUUAUGCUAUGAACAUCCACUGUAUGACGUUCAAGUUUGUAUAGCUGUUCAUCGUACAUUGAUUGCUUCCAAGUUUUAUUCUGAAAGGAAUGGUGCGUUAGAACAUAACUCUCCAAUGAUAUGAUAUUUGUUCACUUUGAGCAUAAGCU